rfam:Eutrema salsugineum unplaced genomic scaffold scaffold_12, whole genome shotgun sequence.
UUGGGCCAGUGAUGAUUGAAAAAGUUUUGCCUACAUUGUUUGAUUUACCACUGAGAUAUAAACUAUAAUAAUCACUCUGAGGCUCAU